rnacentral:rRNA from 1 species
ACGAACGCUGGCGGCGUGCUUAACACAUGCAAGUCGAACGCUUCUAGAGGUUGGAGGUUAGAGGUUAGAAGUUGGAUUGAAAGCCCAAAUCGUGGGCAGAAGGUUUAAAGGAAAGCCUGAGAUCUAAUUUCCAAUUUCCAAUCUCCAACUUCCAGGAGAGUGGCGAACGGGUGAGUAACACGUGGGUGACCAGCCUGGGAGACUGGGAUAACCAGCUCGAAAGGGCUGCUAAUACCGGAUGAUACCAUGGGGAUAGUCUUCAUGGUCGAAGUGCUUAGCGCUCUCGGAUGGGCCCGCGUCCCAUUAGCUAGUUGGUAGGGUAACGGCCUACCAAGGC